UACGUAGGGUGCAAGCGUUGUCCGGAAUUAUUGGGCGUAAAGAGCUCGUAGGCGGUCUGUCACGUCGGAUGUGAAAACUCGGGGCUCAACCCCGAGCCUGCAUACGAUACGGGCAGACUUGAGUUCGGCAGGGGAGACUGGAAUUCCUGGUGUAGCGGUGAAAUGCGCAGAUAUCAGGAGGAACACCGGUGGCGAAGGCGGCCUGCUGGGCAGUUGCUGACACUGAGGCGCGACAGCGUGGGGAGCAAACAGG
rnacentral:rRNA from 1 species